rnacentral:rRNA from 1 species
UUAGUGGCGAACGGGUGAGUAACACGUAAGUAACCUGCCUUUAAGACGAGGAUAACAACCGGAAGGUUACUAAGACUGGAUAGGAAACAAAAAGGCAUCUUUUUGUUUUUAAAAGACCUUCUUACGAAGGUAUGCUUAAAGAGGGGCUUGCGCCACAUUAGUUAGUUGGUAGAGUAAAAGCCUACCAAGACGAUGAUGUGUAGCUGGACUGAGAGGUUGAACAGCCACAUUGGGACUGAGACACGGCCCAAACUCCUACGGGAGGCAGCAGUAGGGAAUUUUCGGCAAUGGAGGAAACUCUGACCGAGCAACGCCGCGUGAACGAUGAAGUAUUUCGGUAUGUAAAGUUCUUUUAUUGAAGAAGAAAAAGUAGUGGAAAAACUAUAUUGACGUUAUUCAAUGAAUAAGGCCCCGGCUAACUAUGUGCCAGCAGCCGCGGUAAGACAUAGGGGGCGAGCGUUAUCCGGAAUUAUUGGGCGUAAAGGGUGCGUAGGCUGUUAGAUAAGUCUAUAAUUUAAUUUCAGUGCUUAACGCUGUCUUGUUAUAGAAACUGUCUUGACUAGAGUGAGAUAGAGGCAAGCGGAAUUCCAUGUGUAGCGGUAAAAUGUGUAAAUAUAUGGAGGAACACCAGAAGCGUAGGCGGCUUGCUGGGUCUUUACUGACGCUGAGGCACGAAAGCGUGGGUAGCAAACAGGAUUAGAUACCCUGGUAGUCCACGCCGUAAACGAUGAGUACUAAGUGUCGGGGUAAAACUCGGUACUGAAGUUAACACAUUAAGUACUCCGCCUGAGUAGUACGUACGCAAGUAUGAAACUUAAAGGAAUUGACGGGACUCCGCACAAGCGGUGGAUCAUGUUGUUUAAUUCGAAGAUACACGAAAAAUCUUACCAGGUCUUGACAUACUCUGCAAAGCUAUAGAAAUAUAGUGGAGGUUAUCAGGGAUACAGGUGGUGCAUGGUUGUCGUCAGUUCGUGUCGUGAGAUGUUAGGUUAAGUCCUAAAACGAACGCAACCCUUGUCGUUAAUUGCCAGCACAUAAUGGUGGGGACUUUAACGAGACUGCCAAUUAAACAUUGGAGGAAGGUGAGGAUUACGUCAAAUCAUCAUGCCCCUUAUGAUCUGGGCUACAAACGUGAUACAAUGGCUGUGACAAAGAGUAGCUGAAACGCGAGUUUUUAGCCAAUCUCAAAAAAGCAGUCUCAGUUCGGAUUGAAGUCUGUAACUCGACUUCAUGAAGUUGGAAUCGCUAGUAAUCGCGAAUCAGCAUGUCGCGGUGAAUACGUUCUCGGGGUUUGUACACACCGCCCGUCAAACCACGAAAGUUAGCACAUGCCCGAAAGCAGUAGCUUAACUUCGCAAGAAGAGGGAACUGUC